AUAAGAAGAAGACCUAACUGAACUUCUCUACGCGUGUUUUGUUGGUGCUGUUCCCUCUUUACCAAUUGAUUACCUCUCUGAACUACAGUCUUAAGUAUCUUAAGCAUCACUGCCUUGCCCAGAGAGCCUGUUCCCCAUCGUGUCUCUAGGACUAGUUGCUAAAUUUGGCGCAGAGACCUGCAACUCCAAGAGAGCCAUUUUGCAACCUACGUGUUCUUCUCUUUCUGCUUAAUUAGUCCGAUAGGAGUUAGAGA